UGCCAGCCGCCGCGGUAACACGUAGGGGGCAAGCGUUGUCCGGAAUUAUUGGGCGUAAAGAGCUCGUAGGUGGCUUGGUAAGUCGGGCGUGAAAUUUCAGGGCUUAACUCUGAAACGCCGUCCGAAACUGCCAUGGCUAGAGUCCGGUAGAGGAGCGUGGAAUUCCUAGUGUAGCGGUGAAAUGCGCAGAUAUUAGGAGGAACACCAGCAGCGAAGGCGGCGCUCUGGGCCGGUACUGACACUGAGGAGCGAAAGUGUGGGGAGCAAACAGGAUUAGAUA
rnacentral:rRNA from 1 species